GCCGGCCUAGCUCAAUUGGUAGAGCAACUGACUUGUAAUUAGUAGGUUGGGGGUUCAAGUCCUCUGGCCGGCACCA
rnacentral:tRNA from 1 species